rnacentral:rRNA from 1 species
AUUGAACGCUGGCGGCAGGCCUAACACAUGCAAGUCGAACGGUAACAGGAAGCAGCUUGCUGCUUCGCUGACGAGUGGCGGACGGGUGAGUAAUGUCUGGGAAACUGCCUGAUGGAGGGGGAUAACUACUGGAAACGGUAGCUAAUACCGCAUAACGUCGCAAGACCAAAGAGGGGGACCUUCGGGCAUCUUGCCAUCGGAUGUGCCCAGAUGGGAUUAGCUUGUUGGUGGGGUAACGGCUCACCAAGGCGACGAUCCCUAGCUGGUCUGAGAGGAUGACCAGCCACACUGGAACUGAGACACGGUCCAGACUCCUACGGGAGGCAGCAGUGGGGAAUAUUGCACAAUGGGCGCAAGCCUGAUGCAGCCAUGCCGCGUGUAUGAAGAAGGCCUUCGGGUUGUAAAGUACUUUCAGCGGGGAGGAAGGGAGUAAAGUUAAUACCUUUACUCAUUGACGUUACCCGCAGAAGAAGCACCGGCUAACUCCGUGCCAGCAGCCGCAGUAA